UACGUAGGGGGCGAGCGUUAUCCGGAAUUACUGGGCGUAAAGCGCACGCAGGCGGUUCGCCAAGUUGGAGCGACAGUUGUCGGCUCAACCGACAAAGGAACUUCAAAAACAUGGUGAACUUGAGGACGAGAGAGGAACACGGAACUCCAGGUGUAGUAGUGAAAUGCGUAGAUAUCUGGAAGAACACCAAUGGCGAAGGCAAUGUUCUGGCUCGUUUCUGACGCUCAGGUGCGAAAGCCAGGGGAGCGAACGGG
rnacentral:rRNA from 1 species